GAGGGGUGGGAGCCCCGGGGGUGGAGAGGAUGCCCACCGGGGGCACAGUCGGGGGUCUCUGAGCUGGACCAGGACGCAGCCAGGACCGGAGCCGGACGGGCAAUCGGGCCGCAUGUCGGAGCCGCACACCGAGUUGGAGCCGCAGCAUGGGCUGCACAUGCUCUUUCUGCUCGUGCUCGUCUUUUUCCUCAUGGGCCUGGUGGGCUUCAUGAUCUGCCACGUGCUCAAGAAGAAGGGCUACCGCUGCCGCGCCUCGCGGGACCCCGAGCCCACCGCCCAGGCCCCAUCCGCCGAGGACGACGACAUGGACCAGGACACGGUGGAACGUAUUGUGCUGUGUAUCAUCCAGAAUGAAGCCAACGCCGAGGCGCUGAAGGAGAUGCUGGGGGACAGUGAAGGCGAGGGGACCCUGCCGCUUUCCAGCCUGGAUACACAGCCAACUGACCAGGAUGGGAGCCCCGGGGGCCCGUCCCAUCACCACACUGUGCACUUGGGGUCAUCUGCCCCCUGCAUCCACUGCAGACUCCCCAAGAGACCCCCCCUGGUGCGCCAAGGCCGCUCCAAAGAGGGCAAGACCCGGGUCCGGCCUGGCGAGACCACCGUGUUCUCUGUGGGCAGGUUUCGGGUGACACACAUCGAGAAGAGAUCAGGGCUGCAGGAACAGCGGAACGAGUUUCUUCAUGGGAGCCGGACGCUCAGCAUUGGGCAGGACUCCGGGGGCGGGCAGGGGACCCCCCCACACCCCACCCCACCCCCUGAGCGUCCGCAGGCCGGAGCCGAGGGGAAGGAGCUGCAGAACGGGGGGCUAAAGGGCAGUGGGACCCUCCCUCCGCCACCUACUGAGGGGUCCCCCAGAGCCGCGGAGAAGACAGACUUGGCGAUCGCGGAGAAGGAGGGUCUCAGGCCAGAGCUGACCAGCAGGGAAACCAGUGGGCAGCCAGCUGGGCUGGAGCCGACUAAGCACCAGGUAGGAGGUGGAGGAAAGGAAGGAGGGUUAGGGGGCACUACGUUACCCCAAAGCCCCACAUCCUAUCCUCCCAAGGUUACUAAGUAGCCACUAGAUGGGUAAAUUCACUGCAUGUUUUGGAGGGAUGGGGGGAAAUCCCUGGGCCGGGAGCUGGAGAAAGCAGGGAGAUCCCUCUGCCCCCGCAUUUCCUCCCCUUUCUUGAUGCUGCUCUCUCCUCCUCUCAGACACAGCCAGGAGGUGGGGGCUCAGCGGGGGUGUGAGUACCUCCAUCGCCCCAUUUCCAGGAGCAGCACAGACUCAGCUGGAGCCCCUGUAAUGCUGGGAGGGGAGUGGGAGAGGAGAGAAUUGAGCCACCCCUCAUCCACCCCCCUCCAGGAUGGCAUCGCCCCCGACCUCCUCCCCGCAGGCGGAGAGCAGCCCCUCCUGCCCCUCCCCUUCAGGCAUCAGAGCACAACGUGCAGCUCAAUGCUCCCGGCCCGGCACCCCAACACCAACCUCCACCGCAAGCCUGGGAGCAAGGCCUGAGGCCAGGCCUCUGAAGCAAUACCCCUGCCUUCACCACCAUACACAGGCCCAUAUUCCCCUUGGCCUCCGGCCUUUAUUGCAUUUUCAAUAAAUCAGCUCCAAUCAA